rnacentral:misc_RNA from 1 species
AGCAGCCGCGGUAAUUCCAGCUCCAAUAGCGUAUAUUAAAGUUGUUGCAGUUAAAAAGCUCGUAGUUGAAUUUCGAGAUCAAAUUGUUGGUCGUGCCUUGGUACGCACUGGCAUUAUUGGUUUCUCCCUUCUGACGAACCAUGAUGUCAUUAAUUUGGUGUCUUGGGGAAUCAGGACUGUUACUUUGAAAAAUUAGAGUGUUUAAAGCAGGCUUACGCUUGAAUACAUUAGCAUGGAAUAAUGAAAUAGGACGUUUGAUUCUAUUUUGUUGGUUUCUAGGAUCGACGUAAUGAUUAAUAGGGAUAGUUGGGGGCAUUAGUAUUCAAUUGUCAGAGGUAAAAUUCUUGGAUUUAUUGAAGACUAACUACUGCGAAAGCAUUUGCCAAGGAUGUUUUCAUUAAUCAAGAACGAAAGUUAGGGGAUCGAAGACGAUCAGAUACCGUCGUAGUCUUAACCAUAAACUAUGCCGACUAGGGAUCGGAUGAUGUUAAUUUUUAAUGACUCAUUCGGCGCCUUAAC